rnacentral:rRNA from 1 species
AUUGAACGCUGGCGGCAGGCCUAACACAUGCAAGUCGAACGAGUGGCGGACGGGUGAGUAAUGUCUGGGAAAAUGCCUGAUGGAGGGGGAUAACUACUGGAAACGGUAGCUAAUACCGCAUACCCUCGGAUGUGCCCAGAUGGGAUUGGCUAGUUGGUGGGGUAAAGGCUCACCUAGGCGAAGAUCCAUAGCUGGUCUGAGAGGAUGACAAGCCACACUGGAACUGAGACACGGUCCAGACUCCUACGGGAGGCAGCAGUGGGGAAUAUUGCACAAUGGGCGCAAGCCUGAUGCAGCCAUGCCGCGUGUAUGAAGAAGGCCUUCGGGUUGUAAAGUACUUUCAGCGGGGAGGCGUUACCCGCAGAAGAAGCACCGGCUAACUCCGUGCCAGCAGCCGCGGUAAUAC